rnacentral:rRNA from 1 species
UACAGAGGUCUCAAGCGUUGUUCGGAUUCAUUGGGCGUAAAGGGUGCGUAGGUGGCGGGGUAAGUCUGGUGUGAAAUCUCGGGGCUCAACCCCGAAACUGCACUGGAUACUGCCUUGCUCGAGUACUGGAGAGGAGAUUGGAAUUUACGGUGUAGCAGUGAAAUGCGUAGAUAUCGGGAGGAACACCAGUGGCGAAAGCGGCUACCUGGCCCAUUCUUGACGCUGAGGCGCGAAAGCUAGGGGAGCAAACGGG